UUGGAAGAUGAAUAUACAAGCUAAUGAACCCGUGUGUGCAAAACUUGUAACAUAAGUGACAACAUGGGUGUGACCAUUGUUGUCCAACAACGACCAAGUUGGUCUUAAUUCAUUUUUAAAUGCCACAGCAAAGUGCCUAUCAAUGUAUCUAAAGUCCUGAACAAGUUGUAAUUUAUAUGAGGUAACAUUCAUCAAAGUUAACUAAUUAACAAGAACAUCCUUACAAAAUGAUUUAAGUGGACGGGUCUAAAUUUCCACAAGAUUGUUGAUGUUCCCACCGAGGUUGAUGCAGCCAUUGAUUCAAAAUGCAAAACAAAAAUUUGCCUCUUUUAAUUCUGCAGAGUCCUGCAUGUAAAACAUUUAUAUAAAUAAUGAGCAAGGUUGACGAUAAGUCCCUAAAAAAACCCGUGAAACAGAAUUAAAAUGGGGUCAUAAUACGCCUGCAUUGAUGGCAUUCGAUUGAGGUCCGUCGGGUUUCAAUCCCUUCAAGAAAACAAUAAAUUUUUUCAACCUUCUCAAGCC
rnacentral:lncRNA from 1 species